GGAUUUGUUGAUUUUGUGAAGAUUUGUUCUUGGUGUUCUUGGAGAAUUUUUUGGUGAUUUUCUGUUUUGGAUCUAACUGAUUUUGGAGAGAGAAAGAAAUUUCUGUUUUUGUGAUGUGACUGAUUCUGAUUUUUUUAUUUGGAUCUGACACAUCUAUUUAUAGUCUGCCAUGUUGUGCGAAAAUUCUGGACAAAAAUGCCCCUGGGACCUUUUCUGCAAAAAAAAUAAUAAAAAAGGACUGGAAAAUGAAAGUAAGGACUGAAAUGAAAUUAAAAACUGUUUGGACAAAAAAUGCAAUUUUGGGACCUCAAUUGAGGGACCAAAAUGCAAUUAAAAAUAAAAUUGAAUAAAAAACGUAAUUUGACCAAACGUAAAGCGAAACAAAAAAUAAAAUUGACAAAACGGACUAAAACGAAUCAAUGGCUUAAAU
rnacentral:lncRNA from 1 species